rnacentral:tRNA from 1 species
GGCCGGUAAGCUCAGGUGGAUAGAGUGUCAAGCUAAUAACUGGAAUGUCGUGGGCUCGAUUCCCGUACUGGCCA